rnacentral:lncRNA from 1 species
AGGCUGUAGUUUUUGGCCCUGAAGUCCCAUCAUAGUAGCUUUGGAGACUGUCUAGGGAAGCUCCUCUGAGUAUGCCAUUCAGUAUGUCCAAGAGUGGAGCCUAGUCCUUUCUGCAGUCAUGCUUUUAUUACUUCUGAGACUCUGUGGCUGAAUCCUGAGACUCAAGCUGGCCAAAGGACCUCUGGGAAAACCGGGUAGUGUCUGAUAUGAAAUCUCAUUUCCACUACCACAUUUUCUGUCUGUUAAUUUUUCAAAGAGAGCCUCACUCAGAUGAUGAAGCCUGCUUGAUUUGGGGGUGAUGAGUAAUCUGGCCACAGCCCCUGUGACGACAAGUCUGUGAGGUUUUGGAGCAGCACUGUGCACCACAUUCAAAUCAGAACACUCAGGUUUCCUUCACAAUAUCAAUGUGGUAGCGGCUGGAAAGAAAUAUUCUAAAAUUUAGAGGAAGAAUUACAGGGAUGGAAAUGGAAAGGAGCCUGAGGAAAAGAAGGUCCAGUGACAGGCCCAAAGAGGGAUCAAGCUCAAGGGAAGGUCCCAAGGCCCAACACUAUUACUGAGUCUAUGGAGCACUCACAAAAAGCGACCUAGCAUGACCGAACACUGGAAGAACCAACAAGCAUCUAAAAGAUUCAGAUGCAGAUAUUUACAACCAAGAAAUGGACAGAAGCAGCUGACCCCUGUUGUUGAAUUAGGGAAGGCUGAAAGAAGGUGAGGAGAAGUGCGAUCCUGCAAGAGGACCAACAGUUUCAAUUAAUCUGGACGCCUGAGAUCUCUCAAACACUGGAACACCAAACAGACAGCAUAAACCAGCUGAUAUGAGGCCCCCAACACACAUACAGUAGAAGACUUCCGGGUCUGCGUUCAUUCAGAGAUGAUGCACCUAAUUCUCAAAAGACUGAAGGCCUCAGGGAAUUUAGAGGUCAGGUGAGGUGGGAGAUGGGGACAUGCACAUGAAUACAGGGGGUGGGAAGGAGGUAUAGGAUGCAGCAGAUUCAGAGAUGGAGGGUGGACAGGGGUGGGGAAUAAAAUAAGUACUGUAAAAUUAAUUAACUAAAAAUUACUAAUUAAUACAAAGAAAAGCAAAUUAAAAAAUAUUACUUCAGUU